rnacentral:tmRNA from 1 species
GGGGAUGUACAGGUUUCGCCUAAUAAAUGUUCCUUUAAAAAGCAAGCAGAGCCAAGUUAACUCUUAAAACUGACUUAAAAACAAUAAAUGCAAACAAAUUGCAAAAACUCGUAAAAGUUAGUGCUUAUGCACCAGCUUAUGCUUAAUUAUUAAGCUACGACAUUUUUUAUACUCUCUUUUAGCGGGGUUUAAAAAGUGAUAUAUUUGCUAAAAUAAAAAAGUGUUUUGACUAGAGACAUUUUUUUACAUAAAUCUAGUCAUUUGUAAUAAUCUUAAGAGCUUUUAGCUCGAAGGUAUUAUUUGCCUUACUUUGGGCCUUAUACAAAGUUAAGCUUGUAAUCUUUUUUUAGAUAUUUUAUUAACACGGGGGUUCGAUUCCCCCCAUCUCCACCA